rnacentral:lncRNA from 1 species
CUGCUCUAAAGAAAACUGUGGAAAGGCUUUUGUUAAAUCUUCCCAACUCAGAGAACAUGAACGCAUACACACUGGUCAGGGGAGAAGCCCUACAUAUGCACAUAUUACCCAUGCACAUGGAAAUUCGCUCGCCAAGAUGUGCUCGCACGCCACAAGAGAAAGCAUACUGGGUAUAGACCCUUCAAGUGUGAAAACUGCGACAUGACCUAUUCACGAUCGGAUCACCUAAAGGCACAUAUAAA